rnacentral:rRNA from 1 species
ACGGGAGGCAGCAGUGGGGGAUAUUGCACAAUGGGGGGAACCCUGAUGCAGCGACGCCGCGUGGGUGAAGAAGCGCCUCGGCGCGUAAAGCCCUGUCAGCAGGGAAGAAAAUGACGGUACCUGAAGAAGAAGCCCCGGCUAACUACGUGCCAGCAGCCGCGGUAAUACGUAGGGGGCAAGCGUUAUCCGGAUUUACUGGGUGUAAAGGGGGCGCAGACGGCGAUGCAAGCCAGGAGUGAAAGCCCGGGGCCCAACCCCGGGACUGCUCUUGGAACUGCGUGGCUGGAGUGCAGGAGGGGCAGGCGGAAUUCCUGGUGUAGCGGUGAAAUGCGUAGAUAUCAGGAGGAACACCGGUGGCGAAGGCGGCCUGCUGGACUGCAACUGACGUUGAGGCCCGAAAGCGUGGGGAGCAAACAGGAUUAGAUACCCUGGUAGUCCACGCCGUAAACGAUAAUUACUAGGUGUCGGGGAGCAGAGACUGCCCG